GGGGCAUGCGGCCGAGAGGCCGCUCCCCUCAAAUGCAUCGGUUGGGCCUGUGGGUUCGAACUCGAUUGGGCGUUGUACCAUCCUCGCUCCGCAGAGUUUGUCCCGCUGAUACGUGCCCUUCCCCGACCAGCCUAUGGAGUGGCGGUCAACACUUUUUGAAAUCUGACCUCAAAUCAGGUAGGACUACCCGCUGAACUUAA
rnacentral:misc_RNA from 1 species